rnacentral:misc_RNA from 1 species
AUCCACUAUAUGACUGUACAAAUAUAACACCACAAUGCGAAAGCAAAUUUACAAGAGCCUUUAAAGACCCACUCUAUUUGAAAAUUUGUAAGGUCAAGUUUACACCAAAUGUAGAUGAUACUACAAGCCCCGUUAACCUUUUAAAGACCACUUCAUAAUAUCAUACAAUUUAAAAACCAAAAGUGCUUUUAACCAGCAAAUUCUUAGAGUCCAUUACAGGCAUGUAGUCUAGCAUGCUAAAGUAUAAAUGGUCAUGGAAUGAGUUAAUUACAUAAUAUCAUAAGUGGUAUCAGUAGCCAGUACACAAAUAAAAACUAACAGUGCUGUCUGCAGAAAAGAGAUUGACCUUCCAAUGGAGCAUUUUCA